rnacentral:rRNA from 2 species
UGGGGAAUAUUGCGCAAUGGGGGAAACCCUGACGCAGCAACGCCGCGUGAAGGAUGAAGGUUUUCGGAUUGUAAACUUCUUUGAUGAGGGACGAACACAAUGACGGUACCUCAAAAACAAGCCACGGCUAACUACGUGCCAGCAGCCGCGGUAAUACGUAGGUGGCGAGCGUUGUCCGGAAUUACUGGGUGUAAAGGGCGUGUAGGCGGGAAAGCAAGUCAGAUGUGAAAUACCGGGGCUUAACUCCGGGGCUGCAUCUGAAACUGUUUUUCUUGAGGGUCGGAGAGGAAAGCGGAAUUCCUAGUGUAGCGGUGAAAUGCGGAGAUAUUAGGAGGAACACCAGUGGCGAAGGCGGCUUUCUGGACAGUAACUGACGCGGAGGCGCGAAAGCGUGGGGAGCGAACAGG